rnacentral:rRNA from 1 species
CGCCGAUGGUACUGCAGCCGCGAGGCUGUGGGAGAGUAGGACGCCGCCGGAC